rnacentral:rRNA from 1 species
GACGAACGCUGGCGGCGUGCUUAACACAUGCAAGUCGAACGGAAAGGCCCUGCUUUUGUGGGGUGCUCGAGUGGCGAACGGGUGAGUAACACGUGAGUAACCUGCCCUUGACUUUGGGAUAACUUCAGGAAACUGGGGCUAAUACCGGAUAGGAGCUCCUGCUGCAUGGUGGGGGUUGGAAAGUUUCGGCGGUUGGGGAUGGACUCGCGGCUUAUCAGCUUGUUGGUGGGGUAGUGGCUUACCAAGGCUUUGACGGGUAGCCGGCCUGAGAGGGUGACCGGCACCGUUGGGGCUGAGAGCCGGCCGGGGCUCCGCCGGGGGGCAGGGGGGGGGAAUUUUGAACCAGGGGGGGGAGUACGUAGCAGCCACGCCGGGGGGGGGAUGGCGGCCUUGGGGUUGAAAACCGCUUUCGCCUGUGAAGAAGGGGGGGGGACGGUAAGGGGAAAAGAAGCCCCGGCUAACUAC